AUGUACCCCGCGUCCACUGCGGUUGUAAGCGCGCCGUCUGCGCCCACCUGACAGCUGCGCAGUCGUUUUGUUCGCC
rfam:Xanthomonas oryzae pv. oryzae KACC10331, complete genome.